GACGAACGCUGGCGGCGUGCCUAAUACAUGCAAGUUGAGCGCUGAAGGUUGGUACUUGUACCAACUGGAUGAGCAGCAAACGGGUGAGUAACGCGUGGGGAAUCUGCCUUUGAGCGGGGGACAACAUUUGGAAACGAAUGCUAAUACCGCAUAAAAACUUUAAACACAAGUUUUAAGUUUGAAAGAUGCAAUUGCAUCACUCAAAGAUGAUCCCGCGUUGUAUUAGCUAGUUGGUGAGGUAAAGGCUCACCAAGGCGAUGAUACAUAGCCGACCUGAGAGGGUGAUCGGCCACAUUGGGACUGAGACACGGCCCAAACUCCUACGGGAGGCAGCAGUAGGGAAUCUUCGGCAAUGGACGAAAGUCUGACCGAGCAACGCCGCGUGAGUGGAGAAGGUUGUCGGAUCGUAAAACUCUGUUGGUAGAGAAGAACGUUGGUGUGAGUGGAAAGCUCAUCAAGUGACGGUAACUACCCAGAAAGGGACGGCUAACUACGUG
rnacentral:rRNA from 1 species